UACGGGGGGGGCAAGCGUUGUUCGGAAUUACUGGGCGUAAAGGGCUCGUAGGCGGCCAACUAAGUCGGACGUGAAAUCCCUCGGCUUAACCGGGGAACUGCGUCCGAUACUGGAUGGCUUGAGUUUGGGAGAGGGAUGCGGAAUUCCAGGUGUAGCGGUGAAAUGCGUAGAUAUCUGGAGGAAUACCGGUGGCGAAGGCGGCAUCCUGGACCGACACUGACGCUGAGGAGCGAAAGCCAGGGGAGCAAACGGG
rnacentral:rRNA from 1 species